rnacentral:lncRNA from 1 species
AUCCUCCCGCCUUGGCCUCCCAAAGUGCUGGGAUUACAGGCGUGAGCCACAGCACCUGGCCAUCUUACCCAUUUUUAUAUCCUGCUGCCCACCCCCUCCAGCAACUAGGCCUGCACCUAGAAAGAUAUUAUCAAAUGUCCCUGCCACAUCCCUGCCAGUAUCCCUGUCUGUCCCCAGCCAGCCCACACAACGGAUGCACAGAAAGGACCUGUCUUCUUUGACAAAGGAGGCUGAUGAUCUAAUACUCUCUUCUGACUUCCUAGCUUGAAUGCUGUUCCAUCUCUUCCUCCCACAGACCAGGACUCAAAGGGCAGCGCAUUUUCUCUGGAAAGACCCAUGUCAUAAUGCACCUUUGUAUGAAGCAGCAACCUUUGCACUGUCUCCAGUUAGUACUUUCAGAGGAAUUAGCUUAUCAGAGUAACUAGUUGGCACCUUAACAGGCAUGCAGAAUCUGACUCAGGAACAGAGACUCAAGAGAACUAAGGUGCAGUAGGAAGCAGGUGGCAGAGUGAAGAUCUUAAAGCCAAAGUGGGAGCUCAAAACCAGGAAGGAGCCAGGCACAGUGGCAUAUGCCUGUGGUCUCAGCUACUCAGGAGGCCAAGAUAAGAGGAUCACUUGAGCCCAGGAGUUUAAGACCAGCCCCGGCAACACAGUGAGACCUCAAAAACAACCCAGUUAUGGCAUGAGAAUCUGGCUGGAUGUGCUUCACCACCACCCAGAAGAGCCCCAUGGGGAUGUAGAGAUUAAAUCCAAUCAUCUCUAAGGUCCAUUCCCAACUGGAAUUUUAGAAUUUCAGAAGCAGGAACAUUUCCUACCUAUAGUUGAGCAGUUUCAUGCUACAUCAUGGUGGAUCCCUCCCAAGUCACCACUGCCUAACAUUCCACAGAAUAUAGUUGAAAGAAUUGAAGAUGCAGAGUACUGAGCCCUCCACCUGCAAAUGCAUACAGCCAUGAACAGAUGGGUGUAAACUGAGGCAGUGGAGGGAGAGGGGUACUCCCAAGCCCUGAAAAUCUCAGAGUAAGAGGCCACCGACGACAGCGCUCACCGGUGCUGAGCUCCCUUCUACAGAAACCUGCAAAGACUCAGAUCGAGGAGGAAAUACACCAGGAAAAUGUCACAGGAUCAUCUCGAGCAGUCCCUUCCAGCGCCAAGCCAUUCAUUCAAGAAUGACUCAGGGCCGGGCGUGGUGGCUCACACCUGUAAUCCCAGCACUUUGGGAGGCCGAGGCAGGCGGAUCACGAGGUCAAGA